AGACAGAAGAUGAAAAAGUGUACCAUAUAUUGUUUAUUUUGUAAAAUAAAUAAAAUUUAUUUACAUUGAAGUGAGGCAUUUUCUAUGUCUCUUGGGUGUUCUAAUGAAUUCAAUAUUUUAACAUGUACCACCCGCUUGGCUCAAUAGUGAGAGCAUCUGGUUAGUAAUCCAGAUGUUGCUAAAUGGAUCCCUGACCAAGGCAGAUUUCUGACAAUUGAAUUUUGGCAUCGAGUGUAAGUCAUUUGUCUUGUCACUGCUAUUGUUAAAAUUUUGGGGAUUAGAAGUCUGUCAUUUGCCAAGAUAUGAUCAAAAAUGUGUUAAAAUCAGCAUUAAAAAAGGGGGGGGGGAAACAAGUACUUAAACAUGUAGUUUUAUCUACUAUACUAUGUGUAAAUUAAAAACUAUUCUCAACUCAUUUUCUUCAGGUUGGAUGUUUCGUAUUCAGAAGAUACAAAUCCAAAAAUAAAAAGAGCAUGAACUUUGAUAAUCCAGUUUAUAGGAAAACCACCACCACAGAUGAUCAUUGUAUAAUUAGAAAUGAUGAACCACAAAUGGAACCAUUAACCUCACAUGAAUGUGUUUGAUGUGAUAGAGACUAGAUAGGAGUAAUUAAUUUUUAAAUCAGUAACUUUCCAUAAAAGUGACGAGAAGAAUUUUUUUAAUAAAAGAUCUGAACUUAUCUCAUCGAAAUAGCUGGUAUAGAUGUGAAAAUCUCUAAAGUGAAUUUGACGGUGACGCUAUUAUGUCUUGCUGUAAACUAUAGUUCAAAGGAAGCAGCUGGACAAGGAUGUUUCAAUGGUUACUUUGUAUAUGCAUAAGAUGCAAUAAAAUGAAUAUAUAUAUAGGGUAGGAACAUUGAGGAAAAGUUUCUUCUUCCGCUUUGUUUAAACUACUGAGUAUGCACCUUUCCAGCACAACAAAUCCAAAGGAUGGCAUAGUGUAAACAAGCUGUUUAGAAGAACUGUUGUUCUCCAAGAGUCAUAGUAAACUGUUAAGAAGAAUUCUAAGAUAAUGAUCAAAUCAUCAUAGUCACCAGCUUAGGUUCUAUCACAACUGUAUGUUCAACAUAUCAGCAUUGCAUGAGGUUUUACAGUAGUCAUUAUGGCUGAUUCUGUGAAGUUUGAAAUUCUGUCCUGAAUGCUCACAUUCCUUUUUGCAAAGUGUUUCCCUGUGCCAAGAGACAUUUUCUUUUCAUAAAUGUUCAUGUGAUAAAUUUAUUUAAUAUUCCACGUGAGUUAAAUAAAGUAAUAGAAGAGUAAAUGUUUUCAAGGUUACAGAAGAUUUCUUCAUAAACUUAAGUGGAUAUGAAUUCCUGUGCAAUCAUGUAAUGUUCUUUUUGUACAGCACUUAAUCAUCAUCAAAAGUUUGCUCAUAUAUUUCUUGGCAGGCCUCCUAGAUUGAAUUGUUUCUAUUUAUCAUAAUAACAUAGGAUGUAUGUUAAUAUAUUCAUGUCUGUCACACCUGACACAUUGUUAUAAAGAUUAUCAUACUUGCACCAAUUGUGUUUACAUGAUAAACUGGUUUAGAACAAAAAUAAAUUAACACCAAAAUUGAUCUGUUGAUAUGUCCCUUUAUGCUUAGCUUCUUUUUAGUUAAGCUUUCGAUUUAUAAAUUCUGCUGUAAUUCAUUACCAUGCAUUUUGCUUAUUUAAAAAGCUUGUACAGUUUUAGGAGGCCUGCUUUUGUAAGACAUACUUUGAAUUGUAACUUGUACUAUAUAUGUGUUGUUAUAUGGAAUGCUUUAGAUAACCAUUCCAAAUUGUUAUUCCUGAAAAGGAACUAAAAGUAAUGUGUAAAUGCUGUUGUAAAAGUUGUAUAUAUUUCUUAUAGUGAAUUCUCGAUUUAAAAUCAGUUAUCAUUACAGUAGCCUCUUGCCUUUAUUAAUUAUCUUGUUUUGCUUGCUGAAGUUUUGUAUAAAAAUCUCAUUAUAUUUUUCUUACUGUUUUUAUUUAUGACAAGACUACAAAAUAGAAUAGCAGAAAUAUUCUCAUAAAGUUUAUUUAUCCUUGCAGUGUGAAUGAAGUAUAAGUUGCUAAAUCCUCCCACAAAAGGUGCUUUUUUAGUGAACAUUUUAAUGUCUUUCAUUCAUUGUCAGUGUAGUAUUUUUUAUCAUAAAAAAGAACAUAACCAUUAAGUUUAUUAUCACCAUUUUGAAUGAUCUUUUUUCUCUUUUUUUGUGCAAGGUUUUUCUUGUAGUAAUUUCGACUUUCAUUAAAAGAUCAAAAAUAGCAAACAUGAGAAUAGCAUUAAGUAACAUAAUGAUAUGACACUAUUGAAUGAUCAUUUAUAUUGUAAAUCGUUUUAAAGGCAUAAUAUAUUGAAUUUGUAUGAGAUGUAACUGGGUAAUAUAAAGUCACUUGAUGUUUUACAAGUGUAAUAUAAUAAUAUACACAGUGCUCCUAACAGUAUACAUUGUACAUGUUUCAUUGCUUGUUACUAGACAGCCGUUCCUCUUUUUAUAUGAUGUAUAUAUAAAAUGUAAGCACUAACUGUAUAAAAUCAAUUACAAAUGCAACAUCUGGUAUAGUCUUGUAACUAUUUUGAUAGCUAGAUUAUCAUUUACAUGAACAGAAAAGGUUGAGGAUUUUUGCCAAUAUACGUAAAAUGAAACUUUUAAGCUGAUGAAAUCUUCAGUUCCCAUGAUCAAUAUUUUUGUUCUUUGAUUGACAGAUUCACAAAAAGAACACAAUAAUAUCAAUAUUGUCUAUUUAUGCAAUAUGUUUUUGUUAAAAAAUUUUUUUAUUGAAUUUACAAAGGCUAUGGACUUCAUUCAGCAAAAGAUGAUAAUCUGGCUAUUGCUACAAACUAUAUAUCAAAUUCAUACCAUUGUAGUGAAAUAAUGUGAGAUUACUUGUACAUUACCAGUUGGAAGCUUGUAAAUAUUGCAACAUCAACAUACAUUAUGUAAAUAUUCCCAUGAUGCUAAUGGCAUCUACUUAACAUUUCUAUCAUAGUUUCAUUCUGAAUCAAGAAUGUAUUUUAAGAAAGCAUUAAAACAGCUGAUUAUUUUAUGUUACAUUAUGACUAUGUAAAGUUUUGGUUGUGAACAUAACAAAAGAUAUCAUUAUUUUAUAAACCUGCCAUUUUUGUUUUAGUAUUUUUAUGUUAAAAUGAAGAUCUGUUAAAAAAAGAUCAUGAAUAAAAUGAAUAGGUUUACUUGAAACUUACAUUUGUCUCUCUUUACUUGAAGCAAAAAAAAAGCAGUUUUAAUUUGUCUUAAUUUGUUCUAUAUUUUUUGUCAAUACCUGAAUCUCUACUGAUUUUGUAAUACUUCUAUUUGUUAUUGUUUUGUUGAAAGAUUUAUUUACUUGUAGGCAUGAAAAUGUUGAGAACUCUGUAAAUAAUGUAAAUAUGUCUAUACUGAAUAGUUGUCUGGAUCUGUAUUUAGUUCUGUAUAUAUGUUGAGUUAUAAGUGCUUAUAUUGACUAUUAAUAGUUCUGAUGUUAGAAUGGUAGCUGAAAUUUUUAUGUGCCAUUGAAAUUCUAAACUUUUUUAAGUUGAUUCUUUAAAUGUCUCUUGCAUACACAUGUAAAAUAUACAAAUUACAUCAAUCAAAAGCAGUUUUUAUGCCACCGCAGCAUCUGCGAUGCGGUGGCAUAUAGCGAUUCACCUGUGUGUAUGUGUGUGUGUUUGUUUGUGUGUGUGUGUGUUAUAUAGAUUAUAUAGUGAACUUAAAAAAUCUUCUUGUGAAAAACCACUAGUCCAAUUUCAACCAAACUUGGCAGGAUUGAUCCUUGGGUGAAGGGAUUCCAAAGUUGUUCAAAGAAUUUCAUUCCAUGCAGAAAUCUGGUUGCCAUGGCAACCAAAAGGAAUUAAAAGAAUAAAUUUAAAAAAUCUUCUUGUAAAGACCCAAAAGGCCUAGAGCUUAGAUAUUUUGCAUAAGGCAUUGUCUGGUAGACCUCUACCAAGAUUGUUCAAAUUAUAGCCCUGGAGUCAAAAUCGGCCCCGCCCCAGGGGUCAUUGUUUUUCACUAUAUGUACAUAUAGUAAAAACUUAAAAUACCUUCUUGUAAAGACUGAAAAGGCCUAGAGCUUAGAUAUUUUGCAUAAGGCAUUGUCUGGUAGACCUCUACCAAGAUUGUUCAAAUUAUAGCCCUAGGGUCAAAAUCAGCCUGCCCCGGGGGUCAUUGAUUUUCACUAUAUGUACAUAUAGUAAAAACAUAAAAUACCUUCUUGUAAAGAACCAAAAGGCCUAGAGCUUAGAUAUUUUGCAUAAGGCAUUGUCUGAUAGACCCUUACCAAGAUUGUUCAAAUUAUAGCCCUGGGGUCAAAAUCAGCCCGCCCUGGGGGUCAUUGAUUUUCACUAUAUGUACAUAUAGUAAAAACUCAAAAUACCUUCUUGUAAAGACCGAAAAGGCCUAGAGCUUAGAUAUUUUGCAUAAGGCAUUGUCUGGUAGACCCUUACCAAGAUUGUUCAAAUUAUAGCCCUGGGGUUAAAAUCAGCCACGCCCCGGGGGUCAUUGAUUUUCACUAUAUGUACAUAUAGUAAAAACUCAAAAUACCUUCUUGUAAAGACCCAAAAGGCCUAGAGCUUAGAUAUUUUGCAUAAGGCAUUGUCUGGUAGACCUCUACCAAGAUUGUUCAAAUUAUAGCCCUGGGGUCAAAAUCGGUCCCGCCCGGGGGUCAUUGGUUUGCCUUAUAUGUAUAUAGUAAAAACUUAAAGUAAAAACUUUAAAAAAAAAAAUUUCUAGCAAUUGACAAAUGCUAGAGGUUAGAUAUUUUGCAUGAAACAUUGUGAAGUGAACUUCUAGUAAGAUUGUUCAAAUUAUAGCCCUGGGGUCAAAAUUGCCCCCACCCCGGGGGUCAUUGAUUUUCAAUAUAUAUAUAUAGUAAAAAAUCUUAUUGUCUGAAGGUACAAGGCUUAGAGCUUUAAUAUUUGUUAAAUGAUAUCAUCUAUAGGAACUCUACCAAAGUUGUUCAAAUUUUGCCUCUAGUGUCAAAAUAAGCCCCAGCCCCGCCCCGCGCCAUAGGUUAGCCUUAUAUGUAUAUAGUAAAAACUUAAAAAAUCAUCUUCUUUAAAUUUACAAAGACUAGAGUUAAGAUAUUUUGCAUGAAACAUUAUGUAGUGAACCUCUAGCAAGAUUGUACAAAUUAUAGCCCUGGGGUCAAAAUUGGCCCCACCCCCAGGGGUCAUUGAUAUUCACUAUGUACAUAUAGUAAAAAAUUACAAAAUCCUCUUGUCUGACGGUACAAGGCUUAGAGCUUUGAUAUUUGAUAUAUAAUAUCAUCUAUGGGUCCUCUACUAAAGUUGUUUUAAUUAUGCCCCUAGUGUUAAAAUUAUCUUGCCCAGGAGGCGAUAUUUUUCCUUAUAUGUAUAAAGUAAAAACUUGAAAAAUCUUCUUCUCUGAAUUGAAAAAUCUUCUUCUCUGAAUUGACAAAGGCUAGAGGCUAAAUAUAUGGCAUGAGACUGCGAAGUGAACCUUUACCAAGAUUGUUCAAAUUAUAGCCCUGGGGUUAAAAUUGGUUCUGCCCAGGGGGUCAUUGAUUUUCAUUAUAUACAUAUAGUAAAAAAAAUAAAAAAAUAUUUUUGUCUGAAGGUACAAGGCAUAGAGCUUUGAUGUUUGCUAUAUAAUAUCAUCUAUAGGUCCUCUACUAAAGUUGUUCAAAUUUUUCCCCUGGUGUCAAAAUUGGCCCUGCCCGGGGGCAGUAUUUCUCAUUAUGUACACAUAGUAAAAACAGAAAAUAAAACAAAUGUUUUCUGAAUGGGAGAAAGCUACAGCUUAGAUAUUUGACUUAAAAUGUUGUUUGGUGGACCUGUAUCAAGAUUGUUUUGAAUUAAACCCUUGGGUCCAAAAUUUUGCCUUGCCCAAGGGGACAGUGACCUACUUUCUUGUCCUUUGAUGUACACCAAUGAAAUUUUGACCAUGUGCACAGUUUUAGUUGUAAAAUUGAACUUUGAUAUCAGGUGACCUAGAUUUUGAUGAUGUGACCUACUUUCUUGUCCUUUAAUGUACAGCUAUGAAAUUUGAACCAUGUGCACAGAUUAAGAUGUAAAGUGAACUUUGAUUUCAGCUGACCUAGAUUUUGACAAAGUGUCUUACUGUGUUGUCCUUUUGAUGUAGUCAUGAAAUUUAGGCUGUGUGAAAUAUGACCUUCACCACCAAAUUCACUAGACUCAAGUGCAUUGAUAUAUUCCUACUCUGAUCUUUUAUUGAGUUAACAACAGAUUUAACCACUAAUCUGAUAAUAAGUAUAAGAUAGGUCAGGGAUCUAUGCUUUAUGACAAUCUUCAAAAUUGUAUAGAAACAAAAAAAUAUCUGUUCCUACACUACUAUUUAGUGUUGUAUUAAUGCGGUGGCAUAGCAUUUUUCUCAAAUGCAAUCUUGUUUGUAUACUCAUAUUAUUAGGUAAAAUAUAGCUCUGUAUUUUAAUAUCUUUCCUAAGUAUAACAUACACAAAAGAGCAAGAAAUGAAAAUUGUCUCUACAUUUAUACCCAGUGAUCUGAUUUACAAUAUAUCUUACAUUUUUUCUUGAUCAUUAGUGCUGAAGAAGAAAUCCUUACUUAUUUUGUACAUUCUUUGUUAAAACAUAAACAUGCAGAAUUUUCUAUGGGACGAAAUAAUUGCAGUUGCAAAGUAUUUAUUGUGUAAAUGUGUUGAAUAUAUGUACUUGUUUGUUUAGUAUAAAGUCUAGUGCUAUGAUUUGUAUUUCGUAUAUUAUGUGUCAAAUUUAUGAAAAUGCAUUUUUCAAAUUAAAAAGAUAAAAUGAAGAACAAUUAAA